rnacentral:rRNA from 1 species
AUUGAACGCUGGCGGCAGGCCUAACACAUGCAAGUCGAACGAGUGGCGGACGGGUGAGUAAUGUCUGGGAAACUGCCUGAUGGAGGGGGAUAACUACUGGAAACGGUAGCUAAUAACGCAUACCAUCAGAUGUGCCCAGAUGGGAUUCGCUAGUUGGUGGGGUAACGGCCCACCAAGGAGACGAUCCCUAGCUGGUCUGAGAGGAUGACCAGUCACACUGGAACUGAGACACGGUCCAGACUCCUACGGGAGGCAGCAGUGGGGAAUAUUGGACAAUGGGCGCAAGCCUGAUGCAGCCAUGCCGCGUGUGUGAAGAAGGCCUUCGGGUUGUAAAGUACUUUAAGCUGGGAGGCGUUACCCGCAGAAGAAGCACCGGCUAACUCCGUGCCAGCAGCCGCGGUAAUUC